rnacentral:lncRNA from 1 species
UCAUUGAUUGGUAUGGACGAAAGGUUCUAAAUCAAUAUGAGAGCUUCAGAGAAAUUGAGCCAUUUCAAAGAGGAGUUGCCAUCUUCUCGGCUUAUGCAUGGGUAAGUAAUUUUCAAACUCAUCCUUUCUGAUGAAGUUGAUGUGUAUAUUAAUCAACUUAUAACAUUUGAAACAGACAUGGUUGCGCGACUUUAAAGGGCAGAAGAGAAGAAAGAAAACAAAUUCAGGUGAGAUUCAAAAUAAGGAAGACAUGUACUGGAAGGAAGUGAUUGAAAAAUUCAAUGGAAAGGAGAAACUCUUUUUGUUUCCAUUAAACACUUCAAGAACUGCUAGAGACAAGGCUGGGUAUCAUUGGAGUCUUCUUGUGCUCGAGAAAGGUUUUGGAUGGACUCUUUAUAACUCUCUUGCUGGAAACAAAGCUUUCAACAAGUGUAUUCUGAGCAAUUGUAAAGCCAUUGUGAGUUAACUUUCUUAAACUAUUGUAGUUUUGUAACAAUUUUAUAAUGAUUUAGAAUUUUACCGAAGUUUAAACAUUUGAAACAUGCCAAAUAUGUCACUCCUUUGCUGGACAAAAAACUAAUCAAACCUGGAGAUGUUUGUUACAAAGAUGGUCCUAUAAAUGAAGCACCUGAUUUACCGCAUCAAGGCUCUUCGUAAGCUUUAGAAUUUUGAAUUGUUAUUCCUUAUUACGAUGAAUGCAAUUUGAUUUAUGCAUUAAUUAAAUAUUUCAGGGUGGACUGCGCAUUGUUUGUUAUCAAAUUCAUGGAGCACGCAAUUCCUGAAUGUGAAAUAUUUCGUCAGACUAUGGAGUGGAAACAAUAGACUUGAUGAGGGAUACAAUAGCAUAUGAACUACUGACUGAACCGGGACUAAGUAUUAACAAGGAAGUAUGGGAUGAACAACAAUUUCUAGUUUCCCUUGAUGCGGCUGAAAAAAAGAUACUUGAAGAGAAAGAAAAGGAAAAGGCAGCAGUUCAAACAAUUAUAAAUUUAGGUGUUCAAAAGUCAGAAUAGUUGAAAAUGAAUUACCCCGAAUUCGAGGUCCUGACUUUUUGUGUUUUGAAACUGUCAAUAGUACGUAUAUGUUAUGAAUACGAACAAGUUUUAUAUAUUUCUGUUAUUUUGUAACAACUGAAUUCUCAUGGUUAUAUCAAUGGAAAUGUUAUUUUGCUUA